GUCAGCGACCAUACCGCAUAGAAGGCACCAGUUCGCGUUCGAUCAAGGAAGCUUAGCUAUACUGGGCCAGGUGAGUGCAUACAUGGGAAACUGGCUGGAACACUGGUUGUUUGUGAAA
rnacentral:rRNA from 1 species